UGGGGAAUUUUGGACAAUGGGCGCAAGCCUGAUCCAGCCAUGCCGCGUGCAGGAUGAAGGCCUUCGGGUCGUAAACUGCUUUUGUACGGAACGAAAAGGUUCUUUCUAAUAAAGAGAGCUCAUGACGGUACCGUAAGAAUAAGCACCGGCUAACUACGUGCCAGCAGCCGCGGUAAUACGUAGGGUGCAAGCGUUAAUCGGAAUUACUGGGCGUAAAGCGUGCGCAGGCGGUUAUGUAAGACAGUUGUGAAAUCCCCGGGCUCAACCUGGGAACUGCAUCUGUGACUGCAUAGCUAGAGUACGGUAGAGGGGGAUGGAAUUCCGCGUGUAGCAGUGAAAUGCGUAGAUAUGCGGAGGAACACCGAUGGCGAAGGCAAUCCCCUGGACCUGUACUGACGCUCAUGCACGAAAGCGUGGGGAGCAAACA
rnacentral:rRNA from 1 species